UAUAUCUUCAAAUGCUCAAUCUCCCGCCGAUAAAUCUAGAGAUUCUCAGAGAAAGUGUUCUUCGUUAGGAGAGAUGAGUUUCGAGGGUUUCGAUGACUGGGAUGAGACAUUCCUCGAUCAAGCCAUUCGAAUGGAGGAAGAUCACAUCGCUACGUCUUCUACAAACCUUACGCAGCAUCAACCACAUCAACAACAACAGCAGCAGCAGUUGCAUUACUCUAAUAAUCAUCAACAUCGACCUACUACUGUGGUUUUCGAUCCACCACAACCUAUGCUUGCUGCUUCUCAGGAUCCCUUCACAAGUUUCUCUCCGCCGCGAGAAUUCUCUCAGAGGUUAACAGAUAAGGAACCCCAACAAUCCACCAUCACCACCACCGCUACCCAAACUCUGAAACUUUCUCCCCGCCACCUACUAGUCGUGCCGGGAAGGAAAAACAAGUAGAAAUCGAUAAACUGAAGAGAGAGUUAGGGCAUGCCUCAAAGCAGCUUAGUCAAUUGGAACAAGAGUGUGUGGAGCUUCAAAAGACCGAGACAAGGCAACGGAGCAGCUUAGAUCUGCCUUUACGCAGAUUAGUGAAAAGGAUGCUGAAAUUCAGCAUUUGAAGAGGAUAAAUGUGUGAG